rnacentral:tRNA from 1 species
UGCUCCUUAGUUCAGUGGUUUAGAACAGCUCUCUUACAAAGAGAAGGUCAUUAGUUCAAUUCUAAUAGGAGCAA